rnacentral:rRNA from 1 species
UACGAAGGGGACUAGCGUUGUUCGGAAUUACUGGGCAUAAAGCGCACGUAGGCGGUCCGUUAAGUCAUGUGUGAAAUCCCCCGGCUCAACCGGGGAAUUGCGCCUGAUACUGGCGGGCUAGAGAUCGAUAGGGGUGAUCGGAACUCCAGGUGGAGCGGUGAAAUGCGUAGAUAUCUGGAGGAACACCGGUGGCGAAAGCGGAUCACUGGAUCGAACCUGACGCUGAGGUGCGAAAGCUAGGGUAGCAAACGGG